CAUGGAUAACUGUGGUAAUUCUAGAGCUAAUACAUGCAGCAAGCCUUGACCCUUACGGGCAAGGCGCAGUUAUUAGAUCAAAAACCAAUCGGUUGUAUCUUCGGAUAUAGCCGUUAGCUUGGUGACUCUGAGUAACCACAGCGAACCGUAUGGCCUUGUGCUCGACGGUCUGUCAGUCAAGCAACUGCCUUAUCAGCUUGUUGUUAGGUUAUAUGCCUAACAAGGCUUCAACGGGUAACGAACGAUCGGGGUCGGAUAUCGGAGAGGGAGCUUGAGAAACGGCUACCACUUCCAAGGAAGGCAGCAGGCGCGCAAAUUACCCACUCUCGGCAUGAGGAGGUAGCGAUAAAAUGUAUCGAUGCGGGGCCAUUAGUGCCUUCGUAAUCGGAAUGAGUACACUUUAAAUCCUAUAACAAGGACCUAUUGGAGGGCAAGUCUGGUGCCAGCAGCCGCGGUAAUUCCAGCUCCAAUAGCGUAUAUUAAUGCUGCUGCGGUUAAAAAGCUCGUAGUCGGAUCUGGGUUACCGGCGGGUACCGCAUGUUGCUUCAUGCAGCAUGUUGUGUACUAUACGUGUCGCUUCGGCGGCACUGCCAGUGUAAUGCUAUCUUAUAGGUACGUUACGCUGGUCGCCGGAACCACGGGCCGGGUUGAGCAGCAUGCUCUUAAUUGAGUGUGUUGUUUACUCGGUGCGUUUACGUUGAAAAAAUUGGAGUGCUCAAAGCAAGCGUACAGUCGCUAUGCGGCUUGAACAGUGGUGCAUGGAAUAAUGAAAUAGGGCCUCGGUUCUAUUUUGUUGGUUUUAAGAUAUCGAGGUAAUGAUUAAGAGGGACAGACGGGGACGUUUGUAUUGCGACGUUAGAGGUGAAAUUCUUGGAUCGUCGCA
rnacentral:rRNA from 1 species